AGUGAACGCUGGCGGUAGGCCUAACACAUGCAAGUCGAACGAGUGGCGGACGGGUGAGGAAUACAUCGGAAUCUACUCUGUCGAGGGGGAUAACGGAGGGAAACUUACGCUAAUACCGCAUACGAUUCAAUGGGCCGAUGUCGGAUUAGUUAGUUGGCGGGGUAAAGGCACACCAAGGCGACGAUCCGUAGCUGGUCUGAGAGGAUGAUCAGCCACACUGGAACGGAGACACGGCCCAGACUCCUACGGGAGGCAGCAGUGGGGAAUAUUGGACAAUGGGCGCAAGCCUGAUCGAGCAAUACCGCGUGGGUGAAGAAGGCUUUCGGGUUGUAAAGCCCUUUUGUUGGGAAAGCGGUACCCAAAGAAUAAGCAACGGCUAACUUCGUGCCAGCCGCCGCGGUAAUAC
rnacentral:rRNA from 1 species